UUAAAGGUCUGUGACAAUGAAAACAUUUCCCCAAUUGCAUUUAUACUCAGGGUACCAGACCAGAAGAUCAGAUCAUAGAAGUUGCUAGAGAAAAAGAUCAGCGGACAGCACUCUUGAACUACAUGCCAAGCCUCUCCUUCCUGGAACUCUAAUGGAUUUAAAUGGCUUAAGAGAUGGGAUGAAUUGUUGAAAAUGGUUCUUUCAAAAGACCUCAUGGAAGGCCAAAGACAAGACUCACUGAAGCCAAGCUGAUCAACAAUAUCUAUAAGUUGACGCAUUCUAAUCAUGUGGCGAUCUUGACCUUGGGAGCUUGAUUUGUGGACCAGUGUCCCCAAGAAGAUGACCAUCAGACAGAUGACUAUCCUUUCCAUGGUGCCAGGACUGGAUCUCAUAAGUACCAACAGUAGAGCUAGACGUUGGUCUCGUUUUCACUUCAGCUUGACUGAGAACAGGUAUACGUGUGCAUGUGCUAAUGUGUGGGGGCAGGGAUUGAUGGAGUCAACGAAAUGUGCCCCAUCUGCAUCUUUGACAGGAAAAAGAGAGAAUGGGUGAAUUCCAAUUUCAGCAUGAAUCAAGAAGUAUGUAUAAUAAACAGUAGGUACUACAAGACUUCAAAAAAGUAAACAAAAACACUUUGAUCUCUUUUUCUCGGCCUCCCCUGGCAUCUUACCUGUUCUCUGUGACAGUCAUAAGAGCACUUCGAUAAUGAGUAAAAUGGCAACAUGUGCUUUCAUGCAGGACUUUUUCUUAUGGUAAUAACUAAGUCUUUUGACUAAAAUCAUCCAGUAUUCCAUCAUAAAAGUAGGAGGAGAGGCUACCUUUUAGGAAAUUUUAAAUAAAGAGGUAUUUUCCAAAUUAGCAAGAAUAUUUUAGGUUCUUACCAAGUUUCAAGGGUUUAAAAUAGAAUUUGCUUCCAACUGUUCACCAAAGCAUCUUUAACCAUUUAUUUUGGCUUCUGACAAGUUAUUUAACAAUCUGAUUUAUUAAUAUCACAAAUGAUUCUAAGGGACUCGAUGGAAAAUCUAUCCUUCCCAAUCAAGAUCUCACUCUACCAUCAUUUAAAAAAUUAUCUGAUGUCCAUCUCUUCUGUAUAAUGCAUCAAUUAAAUGAGUGAAACUUGCUAAUGCUCAUUCUUGUGCGAACCAAAAAAUAUUUCCAAACAGCAAAAUAAAAUAUACCCAUAAAUGAUUCGUUUUCUCUUAGGGUUGUAUUACUUAUUUCUAUUAGAUACUAUUUCCUCUGGGUAUAAGCAACACAUUUCUAACUGCAUCUGUGACCGGGUAGAGAUUAAUUAAAGACCCAAAGUCCAGAAAUGGUUUUGUCAUCCUCCUUUCUUCUGCUUCUCUUGUCCCUGAGAAUCUUAACCCAUUUGAGAAAGUUGAAUAUAAUAUUCUAGCUAGAAAGUCAUGUACCAUAUAAGACCAUAGGACUUAUAAAUAAAACUCUUGACUAUAGAUUUUAUUCAUUCAUUCAUUUCAUUACAUACUUUAGAAUACAAUACUUUAUUCUAGACUGUUAUGUAGCCAACAUAAAUUGGAGUUUUGACUUGAUUUGCUCUGAAGUUGACUGCAAUCUUUUUAUUAUGGAAUAUCUAUUCAAGAGUAUACAGGUUUGGUCUUACACAGUAGACAAGAGUUCAUACAACAUGAUCAAGAAUUCCUCCCUGUAAUAAUUAAAUUCGAUAUGACAGGAUUCUGUGCAAACUUAUGAAUGCAUGUAGACUAAGGGUUGCCCCUUGGUGCCUCCACAUUGCCUGUAUGGUCUUUGUACAUGCACUCCUUAUCCACGUAAACAGAUGUGCAUCUCCUUGAAGACACUAACCACAGUGAUUAGGAGGUCAGUUUCUAAAGCUUGAGUUCAAAUCCAGGUCCUAACAAUUAAUAGCACAUAUGAUCCUGUGUGUGUAAUUGCAAAAGGAAGCUAAGUACAGAAUCUAAUCAUAGGGUUGUGAUAAGGCUUAAAUGAGACAUUUCAAGUAAAAGGGCUAAGUACAGCACAUGAUAACAGGUUUGCAUGCUGAUCGUGGACGAGGGUGAAGGGGAGAACUUAAAGAAGCCUAGGGAGGCUAAACUGAUGAGAGAAGGAAGAGAAUGGACAGGUCAGUGUUCAGCCAAAAUACACGUGUGUGGCCGUACUGGUGGUUUAAAAAAAAAAAAGUCAAAUAUCUUUCGUACUGCCUAGAGAGAACCAUUGCUCCUGGCCCUGGAGUGCCUCACCACUAUGUUAGACACCCCAGUCCCUCCUUGAGACAUCCUAGCCCUCUCCAUAAUUCAUCUACCAGUACAUAAGGGGUCUCAGAAUCUUGCUCCAGCACUAUGACCAGAGGCCUUUCUGAAAGUCAGAAUUUCUGCCUUAAGUGGCACAUCAGUUGUUAAGCAUUUUUGGAUAUCAUCUCUGGUGUGAUAGACUUACCAAUGCCCGAAAGACAUCCAUGCCAUAAUCCCUGGAACCUGUGAAAAUAUUACCUCACAUGACAAAGGGGACUUUGCAGAUGUGAAUAAAUUAAAGAUUUUUUACAUGGUAAGAUUAUCCUGGGUUAUCCUGUGGGCCCAAUGCAAUCACAGGAGCCUUUAUCAGAGGAAGGCAGGAGAGUCAGAGUAAAAGAAGGAACUGUUGUUUCAGAAGUGGAGGCUGGACUGAUGCGGGGCUAGAAGCCAAGGAAUACAGAUGGCUUCUAGAGUCUGGGAAAAGUAAAAAACAAACUCUUCUCUGGAGCCUUCAGAAAGAAUGCAGCCCAGCCAAAAAUACCUUGAAUUUAGUCCCAUAAAGCUCAUUUUGAGUUAUUACUUCUGACCUUCAGAAAUGUAAGAUAAUAAAUUUAUGCUGUUUUGUUCUUACCUGAAUAGAUGUGCAUCUCCUUGAAGUGUUUGUGGUAAUUUGCCACAGCAGCAGUGGGAGUGUAACAUACAUAGAUAUGGAAUUUUUAAUUUCAGGGAAAAAGGCAGGAAAAGAGAGAAAGAGAUGAAAGGGUGCUAAGAAAAGAUCCAGCAAAGGUUGAAAUUUUGUUGGGCUUUUGGGAGGUGCAGGUAGAGGGUAUCAGAAGUGUGGACAAGAGAGGGAAGUAAGAUUAGUAUAGCUGCCACAUGGUAUGGGACAUCAGGGAUAAAAAUGUAUAAUGAGGAUGUUCCAGGAAGUCUGGUGUGUACUGUAGCAACUCCUUCCUAGCCCUGAGAAAACGUCACACAGAAUUCACCGCAUGGUUUAAAGUUAUGGAUCCAAAUUUGCAUUUCAUUUGAAUUUAUCACUAUGUGGAGAUGAACCUUAGGGUGGGAACAAGGAGGCCCAAAAGUAUUUGGGUCACUAGGCAAAGUAAAUUAUUCAUUGCUCAGAAAUAUUAACGUUAUUGCUACCCUUACAGUAUCAUUUCAUUGGGGUUUUGAUGGCUGCUUACUCUUUAAAUUAUAAUUAUUUUUAUAAUCUAGAUAUAACCGGUGCUGCUAUAAGGCUUAUGUUGAAAAUAAUGAUUUAUUCCAAUGCGGUUAAUAUAUCAAGGAACAAUUUGAGUAUAACAAGAACUUUGUGUUUCCCUAUGUUUAAUUUCAUCAGCAAGAAAUGCUAGGUGAAGGCAGAAAACUGCAUCCAGCUGAACUGAGCCAUGUAGGAAUACGUAAGAUGUCCUCACACCUCUGACAGCCACCAGCAUCCUCAGUUCACCACAUGUAUAAUGAGCCACACCCAUCUACAUCUAGUGUCACAAUUUUCCAUCCCAGAGAACUCUCCUUCACCAUGUCUCAAUAACUCACAAACUGUAACCCUUCCAACACCUACCUCCAUGAACAAGCUUCAAGUCUUUUUCUAGGUAAAACAAUGUGUUUAUUCUAUUAUUUAUGUGUUCGUUAACCAUAUAACAUGCCUAAAACAGCUAUCUUUUAAAAUUAGGUUGCUAUCUUCAUUUUUAGUGUCACUGAUGACGUUUUUGAAUGCUGUGCUCCUAAUCUCAUUUUCCUGUAAGCAUGUGGUUUUUGAUUCUAUGAUUUUGUAUAGUGCAGUGAUUUUUAGAAACACAUGGGUCACAUUAUAGCAGAACUCACUGUAUUUUGUCUCAAUGUGUCACACUUAAGCCCCAACAGCGACUACUUAUAUCCAGGCAGAAAACAAGACUAAAAUAUAGAAUUUAUUCUUAAGGCAGGGAAUAAAAAGGGAAGGGAAGAGAAAGGGAAAAGGGAAGGAGAGACAAUGAAAAACAAUUUGCCAUUUCUACACACGGCCCAUCUGAGGUAUUUAAAAUCCCUGGGGUCCAUUUCUUCCUUGGUCCUUUCCUGUUAGCACCUGGGGGCUUAGCUUGGCAUCUGUGGAUUUCCCAGGUUCCAUACAUGUGUUUCAGAUAUCCCCUAACCUCCUGAAAUUACUUGCAAAAUUUUGUAUGUAUAUUUUGAGCAAAAGAAAACCUUAAAUUUCAUCAACUUCUCAAUGGAAAUGUCAUGCAACUGCUGUUUGUUUUCCAGCCUCCAGAGACUUUGAUUAAGGGUGAUGCAAACCAUGUUUCUUCAGCAUGUGAGCACCAUCAGUCAUGAGUGUGGCAGCUCCAGAAUGUCUAUAUCGGAGUGGCUGAGAGUCAGCAGCUUGGCUGGAAGCCACACUUGAAUAGCAAACAAACCACUUUUACUUAGCUGCCACGUCUAUUUGGUACCUUGGAGUAGAGUGAUGAGUUUUACUAGAUAUGGACUUUCCAGGAAUAUAACCAAGGUCGUCACCGUGAAAGUAUGAAACUUUAGUCAUUUACGCAAGGGGAUUCAUGGACAUAUUUUAAGACUUUUCUUUAAUGGACUGUGUUUAUAGAACACCUGGUCAAGGCAGUAAUGAGCUCAGGGAACUAAAGGGGUGGAAGUCUGAAAAGGAAUGGUUUUGCAUGGGAAAGCUGUGCCAGGUCUAAAACUGGGCUAAACACUGUUUGUCUCCAACUCCCUGGCCUGGUCCUCAUAGUUCCUUCUGUGAUCCCUGCAUGGUGAAUACUCCUUUUCUGCUUUCACUGGCUUUGGCCCCUCAUGGGUAGGAUUAGAUGUUCUGCAUGGCAAACUGGGAAGAGAGGCCUCCAAUGUUUAAAGUGAUAUUAUCAUGUGUACCACUACUAUUAUACAUACUAAAGGUAUUCAGACAGGUGGCUUGUCUCUGGGCUUUAUAUCAGUCUCUGUCAAACUAGAAGAAAAAUGUCACUAAAAUAAUUCAAGACAAUUUUUGCACUUUCCAACAAUGUUCAGGUAACAGCUGAAAAUAUUCUCACUUAUUUGACUUGAGUAAGAAAAUUCGAACGAGGAAAAUCCUUAAGGAUUUGCUAAAGUCCCCUCUGUGAAAUCUUCCUCAAGGAAGUUUAAACACUCCUAUUCUUCUCUCAUUCUUUUGAACUCACUGCAUGUAUUGAUAUCACUGACUUGAUUUCUUUUCUAGAAUAUAUGUGAAAGUCAGUGUGUAUAUAUAACCCAUUAUGUACCUAACAAGAACAGUUCCUUCUAAUAUUCAAAUUUCAUGACUCCAGAUCACUACUGUGCAUUCUAAGAAGAUCAGGGACUCUGGAGACCAAAGGGUCAAUCCUGGUCAUUGUUGUCUUACGAGACAAAAACAAGAGCCUUCUCAGGCCCCAUGUUCUCUAGCUCUUGAUGUGGCCUCUUUGGUAUCACUGGCAGCCCCACGAUCUGGUGGUCAGUGUGUCGCAGCAGAGGAAUGGGGACCUCUAUUCUGCUAGUAGACUCAGGUAUGUCACUCUGUGAUACUCUAAGACUGGGUUCAUUGAGGACAGGUCUCUUUGCUAAGAUUCGCUCAAAGUCAGUGUUUGGAAGCACAGUCCUGCUUCUGAAAUGCUGGAUCUGGAGGAGUUCCAGCAGCAGCCACAUGGGCCUUCUCCUCAGAUCUUAGCUUCAACAUGGGAUACUCAGUAGUGAGGCUAGAGAUCAGAUAUCCUUCAUUUCAUGACCACUAGGCCUAGAGGAUGGAGAGAAAGAACUGCAACAUCUGCACUCUUCAACCAGAGUCCACUCCAACUCCAUACCACAAGGUGAGACAAGUUCCACCAGCCUCUCCAGCCUCCUGUCUAAAAUGAUCAGAGAAAUCCUCUUCUCUCUGGACUCAAGGCCCAUCCUUGUUUCCUUCCCUAGGGUGACAGGUGGCUAUAGCACCCUCUGUCUUGGCCCUGCAGCCACCAACACACA